GUUCUAGUCCUCAUGGCCUAUCAUGUUCUGGAUAUCCAGCAGUCGUAUUCCGUCCAAUGGACCCUUACUUAUAUCUUAUUUCUUAGAAAGCUGCCCGACAAUGAAAAGAAAUUUACAGAUCUGAUCAAUCAUCUGACGAUAAAUCAAGGAAAGCAGAGAGCAGCCAGGCGGAACAAUCUGACUUUGAAAAGAGGGUAACCUCGGUCCAAGGAGCUUUUUGCGUUUUGCAGCACAAAGGAAAACACAACAAUUAACGUCACCGGUUCGCACCUAAUAUAAUUUAAGAGUGGUAAAAACCUGUGUUUAGCCGUGCGAAUGUCGCAAAUUAUUGCAUCAAAAAUAAUUAGAAUAAUGGCCAGAAUGCGAACAUAUAUUUUUUUCCUUAAAAAUAAGUGAUCGGAGCUGUAAUUUUGAUUACCGUAAAUGUGCAAAAAAAAAAAGUUUUGUAAAAGUAUUUAAAAAAAUGAUAUGUGGGGCUGUAAGGCUUAGAGAGAGCUGACAUUUGUUUUAUGGGACUGUCAGUGCUUUAUAAAGGUGGAGAACACCCACCACUCAGUAUACAGACAGAUAGUAACAUGAAAUCGCUCACAUUUAUAAAGUGAAGUGUUAAAUUAAUCUGUCUGAGAACAACUAAAGCCGUGACGACUUAAUGAAUGCCUUAAUUAUUACCGUACAUGGUAUCUGAAGCUGAUCAUAUAGUUUAAUGGAACGCUGAGUAAAGAUAGGGAGACAAUCAAGCAAUGCACCCUGCGAAAUGUAU